CCCAAAUCACUAUAAUCUUCGCACAAGUAAUGGAAUUAGUAAUUUGGGAAUUGGGUUAUCAUCAUCUUCAACAAUGAAUUCCUCUGCUCUUCCAUUUUAUGGAAAUACAGAAAGAGAACCUGAUUUGAUUGAUGAAUUUCAGCUUCAAUAUUAGCUCUCUUUUCUCAAUGAUGGCCCAAAAUCCCCUGAUUUUUACUACCCACAACAAGAUUUAGCCUCAAGUCCCAACGGAAGUGGUCUUUUUAACUCCUACGGUGGCGCCGGCUGUGACGCCCCCAAAAUAGGUAUACAACACCCAUUCUGAGUCGCCAAAAUACAUGGUAUAGAAAACAAACUACAACUUUGACAAUACAGAUGUCGUGUAGAAUACGACAAUACAACUGUGAGUUUGAAUACAAAUAUUGUCUUCUAG
rnacentral:lncRNA from 1 species